UCUUCUGCUGACUGUGUUUGUGUUCUGGCUUUGCUCUGGAAAACAUAUACAGUUCACAAACCAGACAUGCAUCUGCUUUGAAAAUUACUGUGUCACACAAGUUUUCUGGAAGCUGAAAAGAUGAAGUUUGUCUGUAAGACUCUGAACCAUGGAUCAUGGCUGGAAACCAAUGGGAUUGAAGUGGAUACAAUCACUAGGAGCAUCAGAUGGCUGGAGAAGAAUCUCAACAGCCUCAGAAACUGGCUGCUGAAUCCAGGCUGAAAAGAUUGGAAAUUUUGAUGGACUGAUGUAUUUGGAGAUGGUAAACUUAAUUUCAAAAGAAAAUACUUUCACUAACAACACUAUACCUGCCUACUCUGAAGUCUUAGAGGAGAUCAAACCAGAGAUCAAGUUACAAUGACGUAAUGAGCUACUGCUGAAUCAUCAGGUAUGCGCUUCCUAAGACUGCUGAAGUAACUAUAAUAUUCCUGAUAUCAUGUUAUUUGGUCACUGUUGCUGAUGUGUCACUGAAUAAGACUAGAGGUUAAUGUGGAAUGUUCAAAGCUAUUUGCUUCAGCUCCGCAAGAUGGCGCCUGAACAGGGACCUGCAUAGAAGAGUAACAAAGAUGGAGCAGCGGACCCAGAAAAAAAAAAAAAAAAAAGAAGCAACAACGACCGAGGAAUUUGAGAACGGACCCGGAGAAACACCA